rnacentral:lncRNA from 1 species
AUGUUCCGGUCAGAAGCUUCUGAGCCCGUUUUCUCAGAACUUUAUUUUUGCAGUUACGGCUCUCUUCGCUAUCACGGCAGACAUACGCUGUGCCCCCCACCACCGACUCGGGCCCCAAGUCGGGCGUCCCUGAAAGCCCUCACCCACCGACACGCUUCGGCGGGGGGCCCGGGCGGUGGCGGUUACGAAACGAUCCGGUACGCGCUACACUACGCGAGCUUGGCGCUUUUCGAGCCGACCGCGACGAACGACGACCAGUCGUCUCGAGAUCCCGAUCCGCGUCUUCCGACCGACCGAGUCCCGAGUCGCGCGCUCCCCAGUCGCCCGACCGACUUGAGUGCCGACCGCGUCCGUACCCGUAUCGCGCAUCGCUCCUCGUGCUCGCUCCCCGCUCUCGCCAGGUGGUGCUGUUUCCUGGACGUGUGUGGGUUUUCCGGCGAGCCGACUAGAAUCCAGCGGGCGCCUCCGGGCUGGAGCCAUGUCAUUGUGAGCUUUUCCGUUUUCCUGCCGCGGCGAAGUUGGACAAGCGCGAGGACUUAGAGGAUGACGCCGCGGGCGAGCGUUUCGGAGCGGGUCCGCCGCGAGUUCAACAUGAGCAGCGAGGGCGUCCGGCGGGACGUCGAGCAUCUCAAGUCCUGGCUCAGGGGCCCAGCCCCACCUCCCGCCCCUCACAGGAGGUACGCCAUUCAACCUUUAACCACGCAAAUAUACGCAUGAUAUAGGAUCCAUAGAGAAAAUACAGAAGGUGGUGGCAAGGCAGCCAUCUUGAAGAUUUGUUUGUGACGUAGAAAAGGACGCGGACUGGCGCGCUGUUAAAAAAAAAGUACAUUUCAUGAAGGAACCUGUAUAUAAAGACCUACAUCACCACUCAAACUAACAUUGAAAGUCAUAUAAUUGAACAUCAGUUACUAUGACUCUCCAAUUUCUGCUUUUUUGACGCACAGAACGUAAUUUAACAUGGUUAUACCUUCAAAACGGGACGAGUGGAGAUCAAAGUUGUUAUUAUAUGAAAUGGGUAUAUAUUUUUAUCUUACAAAUUAUUUUCAGUUACAGUCGAACAUUGAUAGAGAAACACAUUGAAACAUAAAAAGUCAUAGUUACGAGAUUUUAGAGCAAAAAUAAGUGGGAACCUCACAACCUUUUCCGCUCCUUUAAACAUUUUAAAGAGGUCUCGGUUUUCCCGCUAUCCUAUUGACCAAUCAGAAGGGCGGCUUCAUUUUUAGCUGUGACGUAGAAAAGUACAUUUCUCCGCUUGCCACCACCUUCUGUAUUUUCUCUAUGUAUAGGAUCGUAAUCUACCGGGCUAUGGAAAAACGCCGCAUGAACCUUCAGGAGUUGCCAAAUGAGGUUUGAUAAAAUACGAAUACUUUGGUGAAAUUGGAUUGCAUUUUGCAGAAAGGAACCAGGAGCAUCUCAGUGUUGGUAAAAUUGUGCAUCUUCUUUUCUCUUGAAAGAAAAACCUAAUUAUUCACUAACAGUUCCUGUUUUACUUGCUAAAAACUAUAGAUUUAAGACAAACAUUAUUAAGUAAAUUUCAUAUUUUUUCAUGGUUUCAGUAAUUUUAUUGCAAAGGAUGAAGUUGCACAAUCUUAGGACCAUUGCAAUGCUUCUGGUUUCUUUUGCAAAAUGCAAUCCAAUUUUGAAUACCUUUCUUCUAAUG